UGGGAGUGAGUGUCCUGACCCAGGGGGAGGGAGCAGAGUGCAGGGCGAGGCAAGGGCCCUCUGCUGACCUUGCGGAUUUCACAGGGAUGAACCUGUGAGGGGGAGCCCGGAAGCCAGCUGGACUUUCAAGGGUGGCUAGGGAGUGGAAGGGGAAUUCUGGUGGCAUCAUCAGCAUACCGGUGCCAGAAUCCAGAAUUGCAGACACAGACUCUCCCCAAAGCCACAGACUCUCCUGGGAAGAAUGACACCGUGGGGCCUCCUGUGAGGAGCAAGGGGCCAUGAGAAGAACAUUAUACUUGGCGGGGUCCCACCUACUUCAUAUGCAUUUAGGGUUGGAGUCCUGAGUCCUGUGUCUCACUGCUUGGAAAUCCCAUGAAAGCGCUGAAGCCUCAUUCCGGGCAGCAGUGGAUGGGGGCUUUGUCACCAGCCAGUAAAGAAUAAGUGAGAGCAGUGAUGGAGGAAGAGGCCUGAGGGUUGCUGCCACCUUCUUGGUGCUGGAAUCCUUUGUGCUUGCAAAGGACCCGUGUGGGUCAGGUCACAGUGUUCCUGUGAAACUCCAAUAAAACAAAUGUAACUAAUCUCUGUAGGAAUGGGAAAGUGUUAAAAACUUCGUGGGCUCUCCUGUAUAUUUCAGGCUAGAGGCAACAUUCUUUACUUGUAGCAAAAGCAAUAGAAUACAAACAUGGGAGUAGAAGAGAUCCAAUAUGGAGUCAGAUUUGUUCUUCCCUAUUACAAGAGAACACAGCCUGGGUCCAAGGAGUGAGAAGGGCUCUGGGGAGCAAGGCUCCCUGUCCCUCUUCUCCCACACCUGCACCCAGCAUGGACCUCACCCCGCUUCCUUCACAGUGUGGCGGAGACCCCGUCUCCGUCUGCCCCUGGAUGCAUGACUUGACACCCAUUCCUGGCAUCUGGGCUUGGCUGCUGGUCACUGCCCUGACCACAGAUGUUUCGGUUUCAGCGCAGCCUGGACGGUGGUCAAAUCCUUGGGGGCCUCUGUCUCUGGAAGGAACAAUCCUGCACUUGGAGAACAAGAAGCCCCUAUUCCCAAUGGCACUGUGGAUAGAGUUAAAGUGAAAACGUUAUUCAGCAAAUUUGUACUAAAUACUCCGAAGUACCAAAGACUUCAUGGAGUUGAUAUGGCUUUUUCACUUUCCCUGGAUCCGCCCAUUUCGUCUUCGCCCUGGCCCUGAGCUGGGCUUCUCCUGCCGUCUCUGUUUUAUAGAAGAGGAGACAGGGGAUCACUCCCUCAAGCUCACACGGCUGAGUGCGGGCAGCCUGGCCGGGAUGGAGCUCUCGACGAGUCACGGCCCUGCUUCGCUCCCUUCCUUGCUCAGUAGUCCUGGUUCUGACCUGGGAGAGGCAGCAGUGCGUGAUGGUUUGGACCAAGAUCUUAAUUCUCUGCUCAGGAAUGGAACCUGGGCAGCCUGGGUGAAAACCAGGAGUCCUAGCCACUAGACCAGCUACAGGCUAAAGCAGAACGGCCCUGAUUCUACCCCCUGUUGAAAAGGCAAGAAUGUUUCAAGGAGGCAAAGGCUGUAAAAAUGGGUACAAAGUCUAUUGUUAGAGUCACAGUGCAACAUACGGAUGAGCACAGGGGAGUGGUUUAUUUACUGAGAUCAGAAGCAGAGCAGUAAUCCACACCGGAAGGAGGAGAAGGGCAGGUGUCCUCGUCGCCCUGAGAGCGGAGCGCACCAGGGAGCUGAGCUAAAUCGCUUACAUGGCGAGGGUCUUCCGGGUCUUUGUUUUCUUUGGCCAAUCAUCUUGUUUUACUUUCCUGGGGAGGGUCCAUGCUUACCCAGGGCCCUCCCCGAAAGGCGUAAGCAUCUUUUGCCAAAAACGGAUUCCAGAGCAAAGGGUUCUGGGAUGGUAUCAGGACUUCUUAUAUCCUGGCACCCCCUCCCUUUUGACCCCUAGGUGCCUUACUGCGCAUGAGUGGCUGGGGAGCUCUCCUUGACCCCAGGAGUGGUUGAAGUGGUCGUCUUAUCUUUCUGCUCCAGCAGAGCCCAGCUCCUGCCCUUCACUUUCUCCUUGAUGUGUCAGAGGGAAGCCUGGCCCAUUGACUCAGCCUGACGGUCCCAGCUCUUGUUAGGCCAGGGCCCCAUCUACCUCCUACCUCCGUUCUUUUCUGUGGCUGUGUGGACACAGUGCUGAGCCUCUGUGGCCAGUUUCCCUGCUUGUGAGGCCUGCCCGUGGCCCCGGUGCUCACAUUCCCUGAUUCACUGCCCUUCACCGAGGCCUCCCACAGGUGCAGGCCAGCCCCAGGCCCCUGGGGACUCCUCGAGAAGUGUGCGGUGGCCUCUGGCCGCCUCAGGGAACUUAUAAUACAUUUGGGGAUCCCACCGAUGAUACAGGAUGGUGAAUAAUUAAUUUUCCAAAGUGUGACUCAGCCCCGAGUGUAAGUAAGCGCUCUGGGAAGGCAGUCCUGCCAAGUGGAAAAACGGAUCAUCAUAAAGGAAGAGCAAGUCCCCCCGAACAGUCGCUGAAAAUGCCCUCUCCGUAAGGCAGGGUCAGACACACUUGUCUGGCAGACCAGUCAUUGCCAUCUGGCGCCCCGUCGGCCCAACCUGCCCCACCCCCAGCUGGGAGUCCGGGGCAGCUGGUGGACGUGCCUCAUUCAACGAAAGCACAAACACUUAGAGGGUGUGGGUGAAUAUACUCCCUUAUGUUGAAAUAUUUUCGCCAUGGGGCCAUGGGUGGCACAAAGAGGAUGUAUGCAGAGAAAUAGAGGGCUGGUUGGGAUUGUGCAAAGUCACCAAACGAACCUGGUGACAGAGAUGCCACACACUGCGGCUGGGUUCUGCAGCCGUAAAGAACGAGUCGUGAGAAACACAGUCUGACUGGGUGGGGGCUGUGACACCAGGAAGAGAAACAGCGGAGACAGUCUUUGAAAACGUUGAGCUCGGGUUGGCCAAGUGAGCUGAAGAAGGAGUCUCAGGUCUGUUUUGACACAUUAUUGCGGUGUUUCAGAGCCUGUGGGCGGUGGCACCUGGCCCAGGAUUCUUGCUCUGCCACCGUGCCUCUUCCUCUGCUGGUUUUCCUGAGGUUCUGGGCCAGUUCUGCUGCUCAUUCCACCACUGCAAGGACAAGGCCAUCCGUUUCCAGGGCUCCAGCUGAACAACAGCGGGAUGGGCACAGCCUUAGAGGUCCAGCUGAGAGCUGCCCAUAGGCUCUGGACUCACGUUUGUGGCUCUUUUCUGGGUCUCCGUUCUGAGUCCCACAGCUGCCUCUUCUCCACUAAACUCCUCCCAAAUUUGCUUCUCCCCACUUGUAACUCACGCUCCCUCACCAUCCUCCACGUGCAAAUUGUCACCGGUUCCGUCCUCUGUGACCCUCUUCACGCCACACGUGGACCUCAGUUCAGGCCCACCUGGCAUCUCCUUCCCCGGUAGCCCCCACACGGGUUCCCCCCUCCCCAUUUUGCUUGCCUUUAGUCCACCCUCCACACGGCCGCCGAAGCGCUUCCGCAGCACAAAUAGGAAGUGUAGCUUCCCCACUUACAGCCCCUCAAAGCCUGCCAGUUGCUUUGGGGCUUUAGCCUAAACCCAGUUACUGUAAAGCGCCCUCCCGAGUGGGGCCCGGGGUCCCGCCCCCGUGGUCUGCCAGGGCGGGAUGGAAUGCGUGCGGCUGGUAAAUGAAAAUAAACAUCUCUCCCACCCCCCUGCUCUGCUAUAUUCCUAACUCCAGGACAUCUCGGCAGAGUCCACCACGCUCUUUCUAAAGACGGUACCUCAGAACCUACUUAUACAGUGAUGAGAAAAUGCCAAAGAGCCCAGGACAACCACAGCAGAAAACCAGGAUCACCAGGGAAGAAAGCGGAGCCCUUCCUGCCCUCCCUGCCCAGAGCCAACCCUCCCCAGCUGGGCCCUCCCCAAGCCUUGCCUGUAACUCUCCUAUGACCUUUCAAAUGAUGUGGCAUCUGUUUGUUUAUUACUUGGCUUAUCUCUUAAUUUAAACUGUCAGCAGCCUGAGUUCAGGGAGGUUACAUAUGUCUGCAUCUGUAUUUUCUGCGCAGUUCCUACCCUCCGGCACCGGGCUGAGGAGGGCCAAUUAUGAAGUCUUCCCGUCGUGGCGCAGUGGUUAACGAAUCCAACUAGGAACCAUGAGGUUGCGGGUUCGGUCCCUGCCCUUGCUCAGUGGGUUAACGAUCCGGCGUUGCCGUGAGCUGUGGUGUAGGUUGCAGACGCGGCUCGGAUCCCGCGUUGCUGUGGCUCUGGCGUAGGCCGGUGGCUACAGCUCCGAUUCGACCCCUAGCCUGGGAACCUCCAUAUGCCGUGGGAGCCGCCGCAGAAAUAGCAACAACAACAACAACAG
rnacentral:lncRNA from 1 species